rnacentral:lncRNA from 1 species
UCCCUGUCCUCUCCAAAUCCCACCGUGUUUGCUUAUAGAACUGGCUAGAGGGCGGGGCGUUGGGGACUAUGCUGAGCACUUUCCUCGCACCAUCUUGCAGAAGCACCACCACCCUCCACCCAGGAGUCAGGAUCCACUUCUCAGAGGAGGACACUGAGGGCCCAGCAAGCUCCUGAAUCAAGGGUGUUGAUUCUUCUGCUAGCCGGUGGCAGCUUAGAAACGGAACUAAUUUCAUGAAAUUAACAGUGUGAUCUCCUUUCCAGGUGUGAGUAGGAGCCGAGAUUCUUACCUGUUCAGGUGUCUGCCUGGCCUGGAGGUCACCAACUGAGACCAGAUGUGGGGCAGCUCCAUGCAUGGUGGUGGGGGCGUGGGGGUCCCUGACGAUCUCACAUGCACUCACCGGAGCCCUGUCCCAGGCUUGUCUGCUGGGGGUAAGGGGGCAGAUGAUGGAAACAGCUGCUCAAGGGACUCCACAAUGUGAGGUCACGAGUGGACAGAAAACGAGAAAACCAGGCAGAGGGCAGCAGGACUUUGUGCUCUGGAUGUACCAUACGGUGGAGUGGAGCAGAGUUAGACGAGGUUCCAGAGUGAGUCAUACAGGCUGCAGAGAAGACAACAAAUGAAGAAAAACAGGAGGGCUACCGCAGAACUGGAAGAUUACUUCCUAUGUGAGUGACAGUCGGAGUGAUGAAGAGGGAGUGACCCUUUUCUGGCUAUGUGUCAUUUUAUAUUUAUAACUUUUGAAUAAAAUAAUAUUUAACUCAAAUAAAUGAAUAUUU